rnacentral:rRNA from 1 species
GGGGAAUAUUGCACAAUGGGCGCAAGCCUGAUGCAGCGACGCCGCGUGAGGGAUGAAGGCCUCUGGGCUGUAAACCUCUUUUAUCAAGGAAGAAGAUCUGACGGUACUUGAUGAAUAAGCCACGGCUAAUUCCGUGCCAGCAGCCGCGGUAAUACGGGAGUGGCAAGCGUUAUCCGGAAUUAUUGGGCGUAAAGCGUCCGCAGGCGGUCUUACAAGUCUGUCGUUAAAGCGUGGAGCUUAACUCCAUU